rnacentral:rRNA from 1 species
GAGUAACGCGUGGGUAAUCUGCCCUAAAGUCGGGGAUAACACCCCGAAAGGGGUGCUAAUACCGGAUAAUAUCCCCGAGACUCCGGUCUCGGGGAUCAAAGAUGGCCUCUGCUUGCAAGCUGUCGCUUUAGGAUGAGCCCGCGUACCAUUAGCUAGUUGGUAGGGUAAUGGCCUACCAAGGCUACGAUGGUUAGCUGGUCUGAGAGGAUGGCCAGCCACACUGGAACUGAGACACGGUCCAGACUCCUACGGGAGGCAGCAGUGAGGAAUCUUGCGCAAUGGGGGCAACCCUGACGCAGCGACGCCGCGUGAGCGAAGAAGGCCUUCGGGUCGUAAAGCUCUGUCAGAUGGGAAGAAAAUUCUACCUGCGAAUAACAGGUAGAAUUGCCGGUACCAUCAAAGGAAGCACCGGCUAACUCCGUGCCAGCAGCCGCGGUAAUACGGAGGGUGCAAGCGUUGUUCGGAAUUACUGGGUGUAAAGCGCGUGUAGGCGGUCUAGUAAGUCAGAUGUGAAAUCCCUUGGCUCAACCAAGGAAGGGCAUUUGAAACUGCUAGACUUGAGUACGGGAGGGGGAAGCGGAAUUCCCGGUGUAGAGGUGAAAUUCGUAGAUAUCGGGAGGAACACCGGUGGCGAAGGCGGCUUCCUGGACCGAUACUGACGCUGAGACGCGAAAGCGUGGGGAGCAAACAGGAUUAGAUACCCUGGUAGUCCACGCUGUAAACGGUGGGCACUAGGUGUUGUGGGUAUUG